rnacentral:rRNA from 1 species
UACGUAGGGGGCAAGCGUUGUUCGGAUUUACUGGGCGUAAAGGGCGCGUAGGCGGCAAUUCAAGUCAGCUGUGAAAUCUCCGGGCUUAACUCGGAACGGUCAGCUGAUACUGCUUUGCUAGAGUGCGGAAGGGGCAAUCGGAAUUCUCGGUGUAGCGGUGAAAUGCGUAGAUAUCGAGAGGAACACCUGAGGUGAAGACGGGUUGCUGGGCCGACACUGACGCUGACAGCGCGAAAGCCAGGGGAGCAAACGGG